rnacentral:rRNA from 1 species
GACGAACCGUGCGAACGUUAUUCGGAAUCACUGGGCUUAAAGCGCGUGUAGGCGGGCCCUCGCGUCGGUCGCUGAAAUCCCCCGGCUCAACCGGGGAACGGGCGUCGAUACGGGGGGGCCUGGAGGGAGGUAGGGGGGGGCUGGAACUCACGGGUGGAGCGGUGAAAUGCGUUGAGAUCGUGAGGAACGCCCGUGGCGAAAGCGAGCCCCUGGACCUCUUCUGACGCUGAGACGCGAAAAGCUAGGGGAGCGAACGGGG